rnacentral:lncRNA from 1 species
AUCUAGGCAAGCCCUUCAUUUUUGAAAAUGUUGAAGAAGAUGAAGAUAAAAAUGUGGACUUGGAAUUGAAGCUUUAGAAUAUAGUCAAAGGAUCACUGGCAUGAAAUAGCUCCUAAAAAGUGUUUCUCCUGUGGUAAUCACUCAAACUUAGAUUUUUAAUGGUGUUUUUCUUUAUUAGUAUAUUAGUUGUCCUUCUUGUCAUAUCCACCUAUCCCCACCCCCAC